AUAUAUAUUUACCCUUUUUUAAAAUACAGGAAUAUUCUGAAGACAGCAACUCUGAACCAAAUGUAGAUUUGGAGAAUCAGUAUUACAACUCCAAAGCCUUGAAAGAGGAUGACCCCAAAGCAGCACUGAGCAGUUUUCAAAAGGUUUUGGAGCUUGAAGGUGAAAAAGGAGAAUGGGGAUUCAAAGCAUUAAAACAGAUGAUAAAAAUAAAUUUCAAACUGACUAACUUUCCUGAAAUGAUGAACAGAUAUAAACAACUAUUGACCUACAUACGGAGUGCGGUCACAAGGAAUUAUUCAGAAAAAUCCAUCAAUUCUAUUCUUGAUUAUAUUUCCACUUCAA